AGAGUUUGAUCAUGGCUCAGGAUGAACGCUAGCGGCAGGCUUAACACAUGCAAGUCGAGGGGUAUAGGUUUUCGGACCUAGAGACCGGCGCACGGGUGCGUAACGCGUAUGCAAUCUACCUUUUACAGAGGGAUAGCCCAGAGAAAUUUGGAUUAAUACCUCAUAGUAUUAUGAAAUGGCAUCAUUUUAUAAUUAAAGUCACAACGGUAAAAGAUGAGCAUGCGUCCCAUUAGCUUGUUGGUAAGGUAACGGCUUACCAAGGCAACGAUGGGUAGGGGUCCUGAGAGGGAGAUCCCCCACACUGGUACUGAGACACGGACCAGACUCCUACGGGAGGCAGCAGUGAGGAAUAUUGGUCAAUGGGCGCAAGCCUGAACCAGCCAUGCCGCGUGCAGGAUGACGGUCCUAUGGAUUGUAAACUGCUUUUGUACAGGAAGAAACAGUUCUACGUGUAGAACCUUGACGGUACUGUAAGAAUAAGGAUCGGCUAACUCCGUGCCAGCAGCCGCGGUAAUACGGAGGAUCCAAGCGUUAUCCGGAAUCAUUGGGUUUAAAGGGUCCGUAGGCGGUUUAGUAAGUCAGUGGUGAAAGCCCAUCGCUCAACGGUGGAACGGCCAUUGAUACUGCUAGACUUGAAUUAUUAGGAAGUAACUAGAAUAUGUAGUGUAGCGGUGAAAUGCUUAGAGAUUACAUGGAAUACCAAUUGCGAAGGCAGGUUACUACUAAUAUAUUGACGCUGAUGGACGAAAGCGUGGGUAGCGAACAGGAUUAGAUACCCUAGUAGUCC
rnacentral:rRNA from 1 species